rnacentral:rRNA from 1 species
UUUUCCUACGGGGGGCAGCAGUCGGGAAUAUUGCGCAAUGGAGGAAACUCUGACGCAGUGACGCCGCGUAUAGGAAGAAGGUUUUCGGAUUGUAAACUAUUGUCGUGAGGGAAGAAAUUGACAGUACCUCAGGAGGAAGCUCCGGCUAACUAUGUGCCAGCAGCCGCGGUAAUACAUAGGGAGCAAGCGUUAUCCGGAUUUAUUGGGUUUAAAGGGUGCGUAGGCGGGCUUUUAAGUCAGCGGUAAAAAUUCGGGGCUCAACCCCGUCCGGCCGUUGAAACUGGGGGCCUUGAGUGGGCGGGAAG